UGGCAGUGGAUAGCUCCUUUGA
rnacentral:miRNA from 1 species